CCAGAAUCCAGAUAGGCGCAGCCCAUUCCCCUCCCCCGCCACACUUUUCCCCCCGUCUCGUUGCUACUUGCGAGGCAGAGGCCGCAGGUCCACGGGACAAACCCCAGCCGCGGCCUAAUCUUCUCCGCCCCAAUCAGUCCGCUCAUUACCGCGCGGCGAGCCGGCGACCACUGGGGAGGGCAGCGGUCUGAUGCGAUGAUGCGUCCGGCUAGAGGAUACAUAUUGAACUACUGUAAUGAUAUGAAGUAUCCAUCCCAAUGACAUCCUGUGUGGACUCUGGAAGGCAACGAUCCUUUCCAAGCAAGAAAGCAGACAUAUACAAGAGAGCCUUUUCUGCAGCAGCAGAUUUGCAGCUUUUUCAUUGUGCUUGGUGGCAAUUAUCAGGUUCACCAACUCCUAUGGUGCUAGGAUGGGGUCAAAGUGCUGAAAGAUCAUAUUAAUGUUUCUGCUACUCCUUGCAAUUUGCAUGCUGCUGUUUUGGUGCUGCUAUUCAGUUUUCAAUCUUCGGAUGCAUGUGCUUCAGUCCAUUAUUGAUGUCUGAAAUGUGUCCUUGGAUGACAUCAAAAGGAGAUAUUCUUGGAAGUAGAAAGAGGAUGUUUCUUGAAGGAUUCACUUUGGUGUGGUUUGCUGAUGAUUGUUCUUGCUGUUGAUGUUUGGAUGAAUUGCUCAAGUGGCUGACAGCCGGGAUGAGGAUAUGGCAAAAUGCUGAUCGUCGUUGCCGAUAGAGACAGGUGCCUCUUCUCUUUCGUGGACUUCAAUUUUUGGCAUUUUCCUUUUAAAUGCACAUCCAUCAUUAUCCGGAAUAAAUUCCUGCAUUAGGAGCCAGCAUAAGGUUCUGAACACACCUGAUUGCUUUCAAUGCCAUACCACAGUGAAUUAAAUGUUCUCGAAAUUUUGGCAAAGCCAAUACCCUUGUGCCAUUUUUAUUUACUAGGCAUAUCGUGUUUGAUACACAGUUACUGCUACUAUACAGGCUAAUCACAAUAAAAUUUGACAAAAAAAAAUCUGCUGGAAGUAUCUCUCACAGAGAAAGAAGGUUUAACCUGCAUGACAUCUCUUUGCUGUUGAUUCAUGGUAUUGGCAAAAGACUCUUGAAAUUUUGAAGAAAGGAAAAAGAGGGACUGGGCAGGAAGCAAAUGUGAUGGUUUCUGAACCAACUGUAGUUGAUUGCAUUUUCUUUACAUAUAAUUGAUAAAAACAUGUAGCCUUGACUGAUAGAAGGGAAAGGAGGUGAGCCCCUGUGUGCCCAUCAGCACAAAAUGCCAGCUAUAUGAUCAAAUAGGUGAACGGUGGUCACAUGUAGCCAGAUUUUAGGAGCACCAGGUCCAGCUGGUUGUGGGGCGCAUCAGUGAGAGGAGCGUGACACACAUAUACCCACAGCAGGCAAAGUUGCCACAUUAGUCCCGGCAGAUGCAUUCGCCAUUGGAACAUAUUCUGUUCACGCCUUGCCUUUUUAAGGAGUUCUUGAUUCUACAAGAUAUUUACAAAUUGAUUGAAUUCUCAUUUAUACCCGCAUUAACCUGUUUCUGAUACUUGAUGUUUUCGCAUUGUAGUCCAUUCACCACCCCUUCUCUUUUCCAGCAAGGAAAUAUUCAUGAGCUGUAUUACUGGUUACCACUUACCACGUGUUAUCUAAUUGGUCAAUGCUGCAUCAGGAAUAGCAAAGUGAACAGUUGAUCUCGUUUCUGACUUCUGAUUGCAAGGGUUAGGCGGUGCGAGUGGGUGCUGCACGGAGGUCCAACAAGGAGGAAUUCUUCUCUUGGAGUGGGGGUUAAAGUGGCUUAUCUUAAUUUGCAUCUGAUCCUCUCUCGGACCUGCGAUAAGAAGAUUCAAAGGAUGACACCCCAUCGAUAAUGUUCCUGUUUCGCCGCUUUAUCCAUGAAAAAAGCAAUGCUUCCUAUCUACCACCCAAGAAAGCCUUUGCAAUUGAAUUUCCAACAUGGAAGAGUCUCUCAUGUCAUGUGGGGCUGGUAAAUAAUUUGGUUUGGUUCUGGUCUGUUUUCGGCUAGACACACUGAUGCCAUAAUCGAAAUAUCACAUGAAGGCUGGCAGGCGCUUGAUCUGAAUAAAGUCCAUGGUUCAAUCUGUGGCCCUGGGACAGCGAGCUGUUCUUAAGAAAAGAGUGAAAAAUUGACUGUUUGCAUGCAUAUAUCGUUGGUAAAGCCUGCUUUGUCGUGACUUGUGAGCUUGCAAACAGUAAAAUGAUUGUGCAUGUGUUGGACCAUGAUUUUUAUAAGAUGGCAUGAAUAUGAAAUCAUUUGCUUGCA